rnacentral:lncRNA from 1 species
ACAAAUUUACAAUCAAGGACAUGGGCCAUGUUCAUUAUUUUUUAGGAAUUGAAGUUUCUAUAUCUAACAUCAGAACUUUUCUUAGUCAAAGAAAAUACAUAUACGACACUUUACUUGAUGCAUGUCUUGUAGAAGCAAAGCCUGCACCUAUACUAUUUUCGAAGGGUCGAAAAUUAUCCACUUCUGAAGGAACUCUUCCCCAUGACCUAGAGAAGUACGGACGGCUUAUUGGUCGUCUGUUAUUUCUAGGGUUAACUCGUGCAGAUAUAACAUAGGCUACUCAAUAGUUUAGCCAACACAUAAAGACUAUCAGAACAAGCCAUUGGAAGGCAGCUAUAAUAGUUUUAAAAUAUUUGAAGAGCACCUGUAAUCAAGACAUCUUCUUUUCGGCCGCUAAUGACUUCAAUAUUCAAGCUUUCUGUGAAGCCGAGUAGGUUGCAUUUCUACCACCCAAAAAUCCCUCACCAAUUUUUUGUGUUUUCCUUUACUCGUCUCUUAUUUCCUAGAAAAUGAAGAAACAAGCUACAGGUAGUUGAUUUACGGUAGAGGCCGUAUACAAAAGAAUAGCCUCAUCCAUAUGCGAACUCCAGUUAUAUUCUCAAAGAAUUCAAAAUUUCUUUUCCCUUACCUACCUUGCUUCACUACGACAAUCGAGCCACUCAGGACAUCGCCACCAACCCUGUCUUUCGGGAAUGAACAAAACAUUUAAAUAGACUGCCACAUCGUCUGUGAAUAGGUCAAACAAGGGUUUAUUCUGCCAUUGCAUGUCCCCUCAAAAUAUCAGAUCGUCGAUAUCUUCACUAAAGCUCUCAUCGCUCUCUAUUUUCACUCUUUACUCACUAAGAUGAGUCUUCCCUCUCAUCUUGUGGGGAGAUGUGAAAAACUAUAUCACAACAGAAAACGAUAUCGUUUAAACAAAGCAAAAACGGUGCAGUUUCAAUUGAAGCAGAGCGACACUUUCAUUAAG